rnacentral:rRNA from 1 species
AGUGAACGCUGGCGGUAGGCCUAACACAUGCAAGUCGAACGGCAGCACAGUAAGAGCUUGCUCUUACGGGUGGCGAGUGGCGGACGGGUGAGGAAUACAUCUGAAUCUACUUUUUCGUGGGGGAUAACGUAGGGAAACUUACGCUAAUACCGCAUACGACCUACGGGUGAAAGCAGGGGAUCUUCGGACCUUGCGCGAUUGAAUGAGCCGAUGUCGGAUUAGCUAGUUGGCGGGGUAAAGGCCCACCAAGGCGACGAUCCGUAGCUGGUCUGAGAGGAUGAUCAGCCACACUAGGACUGAGACACGAGCCAGACACCUGCGGGAGGCAGCAGAGCAGAAUAUUGGCCAGUGGCGGCAACCCUAGUCCAGCCAUACCGAGUGGCUGAAAUAGCACUUCGAGCUGUAAAACCCUUUUGUUGGGAAAGAAAGGCAUCAGGAUAAAACCCAGCUGUUCUGACGGUACCCAAAGAAUAAGCACCGGCUAACUUCGUG